GACGAACGCUGGCGGCGUGCCUAAUACAUGCAAGUCGAACGAGAGCGACCGGUGCUUGCACUGGUCAAUCUAGUGGCGAACGGGUGAGUAACACGUGGGUAACCUGCCCAUCAGAGGGGGAUAACAUCCGGAAACGGAUGCUAAAACCGCAUAGGUCUUCGAGCCGCAUGGCUUGAAGAGGAAAAGAGGCGCAAGCUUCUGCUGAUGGAUGGACCCGCGGUGCAUUAGCUAGUUGGUGAGGUAACGGCUCACCAAGGCCGUGAUACAUAGCCGACCUGAGAGGGUGAUCGGCCACAUUGGGACUGAGACACGGCCCAAACUCCUACGGGAGGCAGCAGUAGGGAAUCUUCCGCAAAGGACGCAAGUCUGACGGAGCAACGCCGCGUGAGUGAAGAAGGUUUUCGGAUCGUAAAACUCUGUUGUUAGAGAAGAACAAGUGCUAGAGUAACUGUUAGCGCCUUGACGGUAUCUAACCAGAAAGCCACGGCUAACUACGUG
rnacentral:rRNA from 1 species